UACGUAGGGUGCAAGCGUUGUCCGGAAUUAUUGGGCGUAAAGAGCGUGUAGGCGGCCCGACCAGUCCGCUGUGAAAGUCCAGGGCUCAACCCUGGAAUGCCGGUGGAUACUGUCGGGCUAGAGUCCGGAAGGGGCGAGUGGAAUUCCUGGUGUAGCGGUGAAAUGCGCAGAUAUCAGGAGGAACACCCAUGGCGAAGGCAGCUCGCUGGGACGUGACUGACGCUGAGACGCGAAAGCGUGGGGAGCAAACAGG
rnacentral:rRNA from 1 species